rnacentral:rRNA from 1 species
CCUACGGGCGGCAGCAGUGGGGAAUAUUGGACAAUGGGGGGAACCCUGAUCCAGCCAUGCCGCAUGUGUGAAGAAGGCCCUCGGGUUGUAAAGCACUUUCAGUGAGGAAGAACGCCUGGUGGUUAAUACCCAUCAGGAAAGACAUCACUCACAGAAGAAGCACCGGCUAACUCCGUGCCAGCAGCCGCGGUAAUACGGAGGGUGCGAGCGUUAAUCGGAAUUACUGGGCGUAAAGCGCGCGUAGGUGGCUUGAUAAGCCGGUUGUGAAAGCCCCGGGCUCAACCUGGGAACGGCAUCCGGAACUGUCAAGCUAGAGUGCAGGAGAGGAAGGUAGAAUUCCCGGUGUAGCGGUGAAAUGCGUAGAGAUCGGGAGGAAUACCAGUGGCGAAGGCGGCCUUCUGGACUGACACUGACACUGAGGUGCGAAAGCGUGGGUAGCAAACAGGAUUAGAUACCCUAGUAGUC